rnacentral:rRNA from 1 species
UACGUAGGUGACAAGCGUUGUCCGGAUUUACUGGGCGUAAAGAGCGCGCAGGCGGUCGAUCAAGUCGAGUGUGAAAUCCCUCGGCUCAACCGGGGAACUGCGUCUGAUACUGGGUGGCUUGAAUCCGGGAGAGGGAUGCGGAAUUCCAGGUGUAGCGGUGAAAUGCGUAGAUAUCUGGAGGAACACCGGUGGCGAAGGCGGCAUCCUGGACCGGCAUUGACGCUGAGGCGCGAAAGCCAGGGGAGCAAACGGG